rnacentral:tRNA from 1 species
GGGCCUAUAGUUAAGCGGUAUAACUUCGGUCUCCAAAACCGACAUCGUAGGUUCGAUUCCUACUGGGCCCG